UACGUAGGGGGCAAGCGUUGUCCGGAUUUAUUGGGCGUAAAGAGCGUGUAGGCGGCCUGAAAGGUCAGCUGUGAAAACUCGAGGCUCAACCUCGAGACGUCGGUUGAAACCAUCUGGCUAGAGUCCGGAAGAGGAGUGUGGAAUUCCUGGUGUAGUGGUGAAAUGCGUAGAGAUCAGGAGGAACACCGGUGGCGAAGGCGGCCUACUGGGCCAGCACUGACGCUGAGGCGCGAAAGCUCGGGGAGCGAACGGG
rnacentral:rRNA from 1 species